AUUGUAGUCUGCAACUCGACUACAUGAAGCUGGAAUCGCUAGUAAUCGCAAAUCAGAAUGUGCGGUGAAUACGUUCCCGGGUCUUGUACACACCGCCCGUCACACCAUGGGAGUCGGAAAUGCCCGAAGUCUGUGACCCAACGAAAGAGGGAGCAGCCGAAGGCAGGUCUGAUAACUGGGGUGAAGUCGUAACAAGGUACC
rnacentral:rRNA from 1 species